GGUCUGGUGGUCUAGCGGUAUGAUUCUCGCUUAGGGAACACCCUGAAGCUCAGCUUGCGAGAGGUCCCGGGUUCAAUCCCCGGCCAGACCC
rnacentral:tRNA from 1 species